rnacentral:rRNA from 1 species
UACGUAGGGUGCGAGCGUUAAUCGGAAUUACUGGGCGUAAAGCGUGCGCAGGCGGUUUUGUAAGCCAGAUGUGAAAGCCCCCGGCUCAACUGGGGAGGGUCACGCGAUACUGAUCGACUCGAAGGCAGGAGAGGGUAGUGGAAUUCCCGGUGUAGUGGUGAAAUGCGUAGAUAUCGGGAGGAACACCAGUGGCGAAGGCGACUACCUGGCCUGUUCUUGACGCUGAGGCGCGAAAGCUAGGGGAGCAAACGGG